GUUCAGCCUCACCUUCUGUGGAUCCCAGCGGCGGCCGAGAACGAAGAGGAGCAGGGUUUGGCUGCAGAAGAGGCUGUGCUGGACACAGUGGCUUCAGAAGCCUUUUGGUGACUUUCCAGCUGCAGGAACAGGACCUGUGCCAUCAGCCUGUGCCAUCCUGGAAUUCCAAGGUGCAAACAGAGCGGCAAAAAUAGAGGUCUGAGCUUCACCUCCUAUGCUCAUCUACUAACAGGACUGGAAAGAACACGUGACCAAGCAACCCUCCAAACAUGGAGAGCAG